rnacentral:rRNA from 1 species
AGUGAACGCUGGCGGUAGGCCUAACACAUGCAAGUCGAACGGCAGCACAGUAAGAGCUUGCUCUUACGGGUGGCGAGUGGCGGACGGGUGAGGAAUACAUCGGAAUCUACUUUUUCGUGGGGGAUAACGUAGGGAAACUUACGCUAAUACCGCAUACGACCUACGGGUGAAAGCAGGGGAUCUUCGUACCUUGCGCGAUUGAAUGAGCCGAUGUCGGAUUAGCUAGUUGGCGGGGUAAAGGCCCACCAAGGCGACGAUCCGUAGCUGGUCUGAGAGGAUGAUCAGCCACACUGGAACUGAGACACGGUCCAGACUCCUAAGGGAGGCAGCAGUGGGGAAUAUUGGACAAUGGGCGCAAGCCUGAUCCAGCCAUACCGCGUGGGUGAAGAAGGCCUUCGGGUUGUAAAGCCCUUUUGUUGGGAAAGAAAAGCAGCAGGUUAAUACCCCGCUGUUCUGACGGUACCCAAAGAAUAAGCACAGGCUAACUUAGUG